UACGUAGGGUGCGAGCGUUAAUCGGAAUUACUGGGCGUAAAGCGUGCGCAGGCGGUUCGUCGUGUCUGAUGUGAAAGCCCCGGGCUCAACCUGGGAAUAGCAUUGGAAACUGGCGGACUAGAGUGUGGCAGAGGGGGGUGGAAUUCCGCGUGUAGCAGUGAAAUGCGUAGAGAUGCGGAGGAACACCGAUGGCGAAGGCAGCCCCCUGGGCUAACACUGACGCUCAGGCACGAAAGCGUGGGGAGCAAACAGG
rnacentral:rRNA from 1 species